rnacentral:misc_RNA from 1 species
GGAAUGUUAAAAUUGAUGCAAUCACUGUCCAGAGAAAGUCAAGAACUAAAGCUUGACGUGUCAUCUUGUGGUCUGACACCUGACUGCAUUGUCAGAUUAAAUGCAGAAGUUUCUGUAUUUAAUAGCAUAGUUGAGCUUGACCUUGGGGGUAAUCAGCUCAAGCAGGAGGGUGGCAGGGCAUUGGCAGCAGCAGUGAGUAAUCCCCAGUGUUGUUUCCGAGUCCUGCUAUUACAGAAAUGUCAACUGGGACUUCUUGGCAUUCUUUCUAUACUAAAGGGAUUAUCAGACAACUAUUAUCUCGAAGAGCUCAACGUGGCUGAAAAUGCAGAUCAAAACAAA